rnacentral:pre_miRNA from 1 species
AGGUUGUCCGUGGUGAGUUCGCAUUAUUUAAUGAUGCCCAAUACGCGGUCGAUCUCU